UUUAUUUAGUAUUAUCUUAUAUGUUUAGUAUUAUUUGCUUUCUGCCUGCUAUGAUUGUACACACAUUUUCGUUCUUUAUUUGCAUAAAAUUUUGUACCAUUGUUUACAUAUAUCCUCCACCACAGCAGAUGAAGGCAUCUGGACACCCGACCUUCUUGCCAGUCCACGACUGAUACUUGAUGCUUCAUUGGUGUGAACCCUAAAAGGAGAACAAAAGAGAACCAACCAAGUAAUGUCCAAGAAGACAGGGAAGCUUGUGCAGAAAAAAGCAGCUACUGUGAAUCCUCAGGGAUGCCGUAAGGGUGCUCUGGAUCCUGAAAGGGAGGAUGAUGGAAGGCAUGCAGUAUGAUCGGCCUUGGUGCAAUAGUGGGGACAUUCGGGGUGUAACCUGCUUGAGGGUACAGAAACCAUUUCAGAAUGGCGCCACCUGGAGGAGCUAGAGAGAACCAGAUAGGACCUUGUGCAUUCUCUCAUGCCACAAAGAAAAUUCCAUUCCCUUGCCUUGGCCCCUGUCUCGACAGUAAGUCUACUCCCACAUUCAGAUAGCCAGGAAUGUACAGUUCUCUCAGUGAGGAACUUGUUCUAGGACCAUAGGAUGAUCUGAUGUGACAGUUUGUACAAUGGCAAUGAGCGCAGACCCCCUUGGUGGUUGAUGUAAGAGAUUAGUGAGAGACGUUAACAAGAAGCUCCCAGCACAAGGCCCUGAUUCAAGAACCAAUUUUUCCUCCACAGAUCGAGAGACCUUGAUCAUGGGUCUAUCCCUCUGGGAAAUAUUCCUUGUUCUUUUGCCACCACUGUAGGGUUCUCAUGUACAGAAGGCCAAAAGGUAUCACAUUGGAUGCAUCUGCUAUAAGACCC